rfam:Triticum aestivum genome assembly, contig: Triticum_aestivum_CS42_TGACv1_scaffold_607719_7DL
CCCCUCACCGACGAGGACAUGGUGUCCUACAUCCUUGCGGGACUCGACUUCGACUACAUGUCCUUCGUCUCUACCAUCUGCGCCCAAACUGAGUCCAUCAAGGUGAGCGAGCUUUAUUCGCAGCUCAUCAACUAUGAAA